AGUGAUACCCGGUCCCACUCAGCAGAGAUUCUGGUGAAAUUGGUUUGGGAUCGGGCUCGCACACCGGUAGGUUGGAAGAGUUCCCCAGGUGAUGCUAAUGUGUAGCUGGGCUUGAGAACCACUGCAAUCGGGGCUGACCAGUGAAGUGAUUUGCUUCUGAUAACCUGAAAACCCGAAUCCACAUGGGUCUGAUCCUCCACUCUGGGGUUCUUCCGACAAACUCAGAGUUCUCCGUGGCUUUGGCAUCUGUCUGAAUCGAAAGCAAAUUCUUGGCGAUCAAGUCUACUCCUCCUUAAUCCAAAGGGAAUCCAAUUCGCUUCAAAUACAGUGCCAAAAGAACUUCUGUUUUUCGUUUUGUUUUGUUUGGUGAGGAAGAUGGGCCUGAGCUAACGUCUGUGCCAGUCUUUCUGUAUUUUGUAUGUGGGAUGCUGCCACAGCAUGGCUUGAUGAGUGCUGUGUAGGUCCUGCCCAGGAUCCGGGCCUGCGAACCCCGGGCUCCCGAGGCAAAGCACGCAAACUUAACCACUACACCACCAGGCCGGCCCCAAGCGCUUCUGGUUUUUGCCUCUCUCUCAAACUGUUCGUGUGUUUCAUGCCUGGGAACUGCAUUCUUCAGCCAAGUUGGAGAAAUCCCUAUAAAAAUAGUCCCCUUUCCUGAGUGCCUGGUGUAGUUAAGGCACUUGACAUGCAGUUUCAUUUAAUCCCCAGAACCCUCUUACGAGGUGAGUUUUGUUGACACCAGUUUAUAGAUGAGCAAACUGACAUGCAGAGAGGCUAAGGAUUCUAACCUGUGUCUAAGCUGAUACAGCUGGGAUUCCAACCCAAGCAUUCAUGUGCUUCCCCUCACCACCUGUGCCUCCCGCGCUGCCCAGAGCACGGGGCAGCUGGCAGACAGUGGCGUUGUGCCCUGGAUCCGCAGAGGAAAGACGACUCUGUGAAGGAUUGAUAUUCUCCAACACAGAGCGGAUCGAUGCACGUAAUUCUUGCAGAUUUCCUUUGGCUUUGCGCCGUGAGGGAGGGAGACAGUUGGAAACGUCCUGAUUUUGAGAGGAAGCCGGUGUUUCCUGAAGCCUUUGUUUUGGGUGCGCCUUAACCGCACCUGCGUUUCUUGCAGCUUCUUACAAAGAAACUUCUUUUUUUGUUUUGAGAGUCAAAAUAGUUGAACUGAAGUUAUUUUCAACCGGAGGGAAAUGUUUGAAAGCUCAGCCUUUGUGAGCCCAAAGAGCAUUGUUUCAUCGACAGUGAUUGAAACAGUCAUUUCCUUUGGGAAGUCUUUGCCAUUGAAGCAAACUUUGAUUUUGGAAGCAAAAGUUUUGGCUUUAAAGAUGGGAUCCAAGUGUUACACCUUCUUCUCAUAGCUCCCCGGCCAUUUAUCGGAGUGCUGUGAUAGUAAGGUUGUUUGCAUUUGAACAGAAAGACCUGCUCUGGCCAGCUGGGCUGAUGCUAAGAGGCAGUAUAGUUCAGUGGUGAGGAGCACAUCCCUUACAGCUGGGCUGCCUGGGUUUGCCUCACUCUGCCACUUGCAAGCUGGAAUCUUCGGCAAAUUACAUAACUGUCCCGAACUUCAGUUUCUGCCUUUAUAAAAUGGGGAUGAAGAUAGUAUUUAUUUCCUAUGAUUUUUUAUAAUUAUUAAUUAACAUAAUAAAAAGUACUUAAAUCCAAUAA
ensembl:lncRNA